rnacentral:rRNA from 1 species
CAUGCAAGUCGAGCGGCAGCGGGAAAGUAGCUUGCUACUUUUGCCGGCGAGCGGCGGACGGGUGAGUAAUGCCUGGGAAAUUGCCCAGUCGAGGGGGAUAACAUUUGGAAACGACUGCUAAUACCGCAUACGCCCUACGGGGGAAAGCAGGGGACCUUCGGGCCUUGCGCGAUUGGAUAUGCCCAGGUGGGAUUAGCUAGUUGGUGAGGUAAUGGCUCACCAAGGCGACGAUCCCUAGCUGGUCUGAGAGGAUGAUCAGCCACACUGGAACUGAGACACGGUCCAGACUCCUACGGGAGGCAGCAGUGGGGAAUAUUGCACAAUGGGGGAAACCCUGGUGCAGCCAUGCCGCGUGUGUGAAGAAGGCCUUCGGGUUGUAAAGCACUUUCAGCCAGGAGGAAAGGUUGGCGCCUAAUACGUGUCAACUGUGACGUUACU